ACGGGGAGCAGCAGGCGCGAGACCUUUACACUGCACGCCAGUGCGAUAAGGGAAUCCCAAGUGCGCAGGCAUAGAGCCUGCGCUUUUGUACACCGUAGGGAGGUGUACGAAUAAGGGCUGGGCAAGAUCGGUGCCAGCCGCCGCGGUAAUACCGGCAGCCCGAGUGAUGGCCGAUCUUAUUGGGCCUAAAGCGUCCGUAGCUGGCCGCACAAGUCCAUCGGAAAAUCCACCCGCCCAACGGGUGGGCGUCCGGUGGAAACUGUGUGGCUUGGGACCGGAAGGCGCGACGGGUACGUCCGGGGUAGGAGUGAAAUCCCGUAAUCCUGGACGGACCGCCGAUGGCGAAAGCACGUCGCGAGGACGGAUCCGACAGUGAGGGACGAAAGCCAGGGUCUCGAACCGGAUUAGAUACCCGGGUAGUCCUGGCCGUAAACAAUGCCUGCUAGGUGUGGCUCCCGCUACGAGCGGGUGCUGUGCCGUAGGGAAGCCGCUAAGCAGGCCGCCUGGGAAGUACGUCCGCAAGGAUGAAACUCAAAGGAAUUGACGG
rnacentral:rRNA from 1 species